CCUUCCUCCCCGCUGUUGCCCAGCCUAACCACACCACUCUACACACGGAGAUUUAAUUUAGUCCAGUGCUUCCAGUGUCUUCUCUAAAGCGUCCUUUUCGAUUACGUCCUUAAGCCCUCCCGAGCUGCAGCUUCAUCGUCAUAGGAUUUUUGCGGCACCUGAAUGAAGUAACGUAUGUAAAAGAAAUGUUAAAGUUGUUUCCACUAUUCUUUGACCGGAACACCAAUGGAAUCAGACUGUACUCUUCUCUCCAUCUCUGCCUCUGCCCUCCUAGCGCCAAAGUUCUAGAAUCCUAGGAUUUACAGAGAGAGCAUACAAGCAGGGGGAGUGGCAGAGGCAGAGGAAGAAGCAGGCUCCUCCCUGAGCAAGGAACAUGAUGCAGGACUCAAUCCCAGGACCCUUGGAAUCAUGACCUGAGCCAAAGGCAGAUGCUUAACUGCUUAACUCACUAAGCCACCCAGGCAUCCCAUUCUUCUCUUCCAAUUCUUACCUCAGUGAGUAUCACCCACUACCCAGAAUUGCUCCAGCCAGAAACCUGGAAGUCAUCCCAGGCUCCAGGCCUCUCCCCAUUUACAUCCACAUAGUCAGUCUUUCAAAUCUACAUUGCAGUGUUUGCCAGUGAAGUAAUUUUGACCAUCAUAUAGAAUUUAGGGAAAAAAGAUUUACUCAUGAACUUUUUCUUAUUAACAUAUAAUGUAUUAUUGACUUCAGGGGUACAGCUCUGUGAAUCAUCAGUCUUACAUAAUUCACAGCACUCCCCAUAGUACAUACCCUCUCCAAUGUCCAUCACCCAGUCACCCCAUCCCUCCCACCCACCUCCCCUCCAGCAACCUUCAGUUUGUUUCCUGAGAUUAAGAUCAUAUAAUUGCCUUUCUCUGAUUGACUUAUUUUGCUUAGCAUAAUACCCUCUAGUUCCAUCUACAUCAUUGCAAAUGGCAAGAUUUCAUAUUUUGAUGGCCGCAUAGUAUUCCGUUGUAGAUACCUAUAUACCACUACUCAUGAACUUCUGAGUUUUAGAUCUGCUUCCUCUGACACUUAUUCCCAAACUAUACUAAAAUAAAUUUUUAAAGAUUUUGCAGCUGUGGUAUUUAGACAGAUUAAGAACGUAUAUGUGCUUAUAAACCACAAACUUUUUGAUUAGUGAAGGAGUAGCUUAUCUUAUGGUGUACUCUUUGUGAUAUAAAAUGCUUGAGGAAAUAAUCCCCUUUUAAGAUUAAUGUGGUACUGAGCUUAUUACCAUUUCUACUCACAAAAAGAUAUAUUUCAUCAACUGUUACAAUUUUUCAGAUUUUAUCUUUUUUAAUUUUUUAUUUUUUUGAGAGAGAGAAAAUGGGAGGAAGGGUGGGGGAGAGGUAUAAAGAGAAUCCUCAAGCAUACUCUGCAUUGAGCUCAGAGCUCCUUGUCGGGCUUGAUCUCAAGAUCUCAAGAGUGUGAGAUCGUGACCUGAGCCAAAAUUAAGACACUCAGACACUUAACUGACAGAGCUACUCAGGUGCCCCAUUUUUUUACUUUUUAACAUUUAUGAAAUUGGAAUGUCUUUUUAAAAAAUAUUUGAGAGAGAAAGCAUACAUACAAGUGGGACAAAGUGGCAGAGGGAGAGAGGGAGAAUCUUAAGCAGGCUUCAUGUCCAUGCAAAGUCCAUGGUGGAGCUCGAUCUCACAACUUUUGAGAUCAUGGCCUGAGCCAAAAUCAAGAGUCAGAUGCUUAACCAACUGAGCUACCAAUAAGCCUCUGACAUUGGGAUGUCUCAAAAUCAGUAGUGUAAUUUACUUAGCAUUUUUUAUGUUUUAGUGGUACAUAAAAUUAUGUCUUAACAAUUACUGGUGUUUAGAUAUGGUGAAACAUGCUUCAGGUCAAAAUAGCGACUCCUUCCUAAGUGAGGUAAAUACUGUCCUCUGAAUGGCUUACUUUACUCUUUUCCACUUUUUUAAACUAUUUUUCAGUAAGACUAAGGAGAGAAAGAAAAGGAGAAACAGAAAGAAAAACAGUGAUGUUUCAGAUAUACUAGGUGUAGAUUACUGCCAGGGAAAUGAGCUUCAAGAAAUUAGAAGACCUCUGUAUUUAAAGACCAAUAUUCUUUGGAAAUAUAAUCAUAGAAUAUCAAAAUAAAAUGACCUCAGGAGUCAUAUAGUUACAGAUUUCUCAACAUAGGACUUUCCUAAGGUUUUAUUUAUUUAUUUGUCAUGGUGUGGGGGGGCAGGGAGAGAGAGAGUGCACAUGCAGGAGGAGCAGGAGGCUGAGGGGGAAGCAGGCUUCCCGCUGAGCAAGGAGCCAGAUGUGGAAUUUGAUCCCAAGGAUCAUAACCUGAGCUGAAGGCAGAUGCUUAACUGAGCCAGGCAAGCGUCCCAACAUGGUAUAAAAUUAUCCUCAAUAGUGUCCUGUUUUAUAUUGUUAAGAUUCCUUCUAUUGUUUUCUCCUUUGAGAUCUUUUGGACUCUUCUUUUACACUGGCUGUCUGCCUUGGCUAUGCAGAUCAUAUCUUCAUUAAUUUCAUGAAUAUUGAAUAGAAUUAGGUCCAGCCAAGAUUCUAUAGCACAAGAUUGGAGACAACCCUCCAGGUUGAUACAGCUCCAUUAAUCAAGCCUUUUUGGAUGAUUGUUCAAUUAAUUAUCAAUCAUCUCAACUACUAAAACACUUCCCUGCUUUGGGAUAAAGUUCACUUUCCCUAAGGUUGCACUCAAAUUAAGAGCUUUUCAUGGUCUGACUUAAUUCUGGCUUGGACUCCUGCAUUAUCUAUCUCAUCUAUCUCUCAUAAGCACCUGUUUUAGUCUGUUGGAACUGCUUGUUUCCCAAAUCCUUCAUGGUAUUCAUGGGCUGGCCCUCUCCCCGCCCUCUCAACUGGUUCCUUCUGUCUGAAAUUCCUUUAUUCUCUUUAUAUAAUACCUAUGUAUCCUUUAAGUGUCACUUUGUUUCCAAAUCUUUUCUUGACAAACCACCUAUCUCUUCAUUAAAGUAUCCCUUUAUCAAUGUUCCCAAGACACCCUUUGCUCCCUUCCAUCAUAGUACAUCACAUAUUGCACUGUCUUGUUUGAACUUGUCUCUCCUAAAAACACGAAACACACAACCAAACAAAAAACAAGAACAAAAACCCCUCUUCCCUCCUACCAGAAUAGAAGUACCUGGAGGGCAGGAACUGUAUUUUAUUUCUUCGCCUUUGGCACAGUAUGGUACUGAAUACUGGUUUAGAUUAAUGAUUUCAGUGUAAUGAUACCAUGAAACCUUAUUAAAUAACCUAAAUAUGCAUCUCUGUAUUGUUUGCUAAUGCUGUCAAAAUAAAAUGUAGAGAUUGAUUUCAA